rnacentral:rRNA from 1 species
GAGAGUUGAUCAUGGCGUCAGGAUGAACGCUGGCGGCGUGCUUAACACGAUGCAAGUCGAACGAAGCAACUUAUUACGAGUCCCUCGGGGUGACGAUUGUUGACUGAGUGGCGGACGGGUGAGUAACGCGUGGGUAACCUGCCUUGUACAGGGGGACAACAGUUGGAAACGACUGCUAAUACCGCAUAAGCGCACAGCUUCGCAUGAAGCAGUGUGAAAAGUUUUUCGGACAAGAUGGACCCGCGUCUGAUUAGCUAGUUGGUGAGGUAACGGCCCACCAAGGCGACGAUCAGUAGCCGACCUGAGAGGGUGACCGGCCACAUUGGGACUGAGACACGGCCCAAACUCCUACGGGAGGCAGCAGUGGGGAAUAUUGCACAAUGGGCGAAAGCCUGAUGCAGCCGACGCCGCGUGAGCGAAGAAGUAUUUCGGUAUGUAAAGCUCUAUCAGCAGGGAAGAUAAUGACGGUACCUGACUAAGAAGCACCGGCUAAAUACGUGCCAGCCGCUGC